UCUCAAAGUGAUUUAUUUAAUUUCUUAUCAUUUUAAUUAAUCAUCAUUACUUUUAUCAUGCAAGUUAAUCAGUGGGAGAAAAGAUUAACUUGCAAUUAGUCUUUGAAUUGAUUGGAAUGUGGAAAGUACGUCAAGUUUAAUCUCCAAACCCCUUUUUCUAUACCUUAAUGUGUAUGUGUCAUUAUUACCUAAUCAUGAUCGCCAUGUUUUCUCAUCUUGUUUUAGUGAAAGAAAAAAGAUUUCAUUUUGAUUUUCUUUCUUUUUUUCAACGUUUUAUGGUGACAAGUAUUCUUCUUAUAAUGAUUCCUGUUCAUUGAUGUUACAGUUUCCAAACGUGAGUUAUGAUCAUGGUGCUUGAAUAUUGGUUAGAUUCUAGGAGGAGGAUAUGAUGACAAGUGGUGAGAGAGAUGAUUUUUGCGUUGGUUGAUUAAGGUGGAAAUUUGAUAUGAACAGUCAUAAAUUAUGCUACUAUUUAAAAGGGUUAGCCCACCAUGAGAAAAAAGUAAAAAAAAUUGAUUAACUCUGAACAAGAUUCAUUCAUUUGAUUCUUCAUCAGCCUGGUAAUUGCUUCUUUUAUGGUUGAUAAUCAUGAUUAGCUGAAAAGAGGUAAUUUUCAAAUCGUAAAAAAAAACAAAUCAUUUGAUGAUGACUUUGAUUAUUAUUACGAUUUUUUUCGUUUGUGGCUGGAAUCAUUAUCAUCCUUCAUACACUGACCAAUUAUAAUUUUGGCCUAAUCAACGGGACCAGUGAAAGAACCAACCAGUUAGUGAAUCUAUCUUUUGGACGACUAAUCAGUAAAGAAGCGAUUUACUCAAGAUUAAAUGUUGGAAACUCAUCAAACUGCCUUCAAAUUCAAUAUAAUCAGAUUGCAUGAGAAUGACGAUAACAACUUAAACCAAUAAUUCAUUCCUGUAGCAAGCGAAGUAAAAAAAAAAUUAGAUCCUGGAUAAAUUUAUUGACAUCAUGAAGACUAUUAGCAAAUUGUAGUGGGCAAUUUACUGGUAUAAACUUUUUCCCAACGUAAUUUUUAAAUCAUUCACAAAUAAUUAUGUUGUACAAUUUUCUUGGCUAAUCAAUUGAAGAUGCUACAUCCAAAACUCAUAAUGAAUACAACUAGUAGUUGUAUUAUUCAUCCAAUUUUCCAGAUUUUCAUCAUAAAUUGUUGAUCCGUCUACAACUAAUGAUAAGGCUCAGCACCAUAAACACAUCAACAUUUACUACUACUAACACAGUAGGAUCAUAAUUAUCAAGUUUAAGAUCAAUUUUUGUUUGGAUUUAUUAUAUAUAUGGACAUAAUUUGGCUUUAAAAUAACAUUGGCUUGCCUAAUUGCCCUUGGGCACAUCAUCACCAUCAUCAAAAAUGUUCUGACAGUGAUUUCUUGAAGCUCAGAUGAGGAGAUAAAAUUGGUAAACUAAGCAUGAUGACCUUGGAACAGAACAAAAAGGAGAGAGAACGAUAAAGAUGAAAAAUAAUGGAGACGAAAUUGAUAAAAAGAAAACAAUUUAAAGAGCAAUAAUCAACAAAGAAAAAUUAUCAACCCAUCAACAAAUCAACAACUAAAAUAGUGAUGAUUAGAAAAACAAAAAUCUUCCCUUGUUAGUGUUUAUAAUUACGUGUGUCUACAGAGAGAAACAUUAGCAUCUCAUCAUCAUCAUCAUCAUCAUUAUCGAUGCUAUUAUUUAACAGCUUUUCACUGUUAUAAAAACAACGAUGUUAAUGAAAUUGUUUUUUUUACUUUUCUCGUUAACAUUAUAACUUGAAAGUGUGUACACAAUUUGACGAUGAUGAUGAUUACUGCUGACGAUGGAAAUGGACCCUAGGAGGAGAAAAAUGAUGAUCAUGAUGACGGAGGAUAAAUCGGAAUGAGAUGAUGGAAAGAAGAUGAAAAAUGAGACUAAAUUGAAGAAGUGAAGAUAAGUUCAAUUUAAAGUAAUUUCCAUCUCUAAUCUUCCAAUCACUUUACAAAAAAAAAACUCAUAAUUCUGUUUACUUUUUUUACUGUUCAUUGAAUGGAUGUUUGUUUAUACCAAGUGAAGAAAAAUAGAUGAUGAAGGAUGAGAGAGAAUGAAAAUUGUAUGAACCCAUCUCAAGAAUUGAUCUCAGAAGGGAUUUCAAUUUUCUCUACCUUAGAAAUUGAUAAACACCGAGAGUGAAGAAAAAAUCAGUAAGCAUAUUUUUCUUCUUACAGACUAAAUCUUUCAUAAUCUUGGAAAUGGAUUUCGAUUCAUGUGUGUGUGUAUGGACACAAGAAGGUGGAAAUAAUAAUAAUUCAGAGGAGGACAUCUGAUAAUCAUGAAGAUGAUGAUCAUGCUUAUCAUCAUCUUUAACAACAAAGACACAAACCGUAAACGUAUUAUUUUGAAGAGAUGGAAUUGGAAUUAGAAAAAAAAAGUGAUUUGAUGGAAAGAUGCUGAAAAUGCUGAUAAAAGAUGAAGUUUAUAUUCCCUGUUGUUGUUUUCUACUUUGAUCAGUUCAUCACAAAAGGAGGGAAAAUAAUAUGAUGAAGAUGAAAGAAGCAUUUUUGCUUUUUAACAACAAUAACAAAAAAACUGUUGACUCGUUCUAACAACUGAAACAACAAAAAACCACAGUAACACCAAGGAUCAACAUUAUAAACCCCAUAACAUCAACAUCAUCACAACAUCAAUGGAAGAAGCUUUUUUUAUAUACUCUUUUAUUUCCCUCUACUCUUCAUCUUCAUCUUCAUCUUCCUCCUCCUCCCACCACCUCAUCAUCUUUUCCUCUUCUUUUCUUUUUAAUGUCUUUGUUUGUCUACGAGAAGUUACCUUUCUUUUCUUCAUCUUCAUCUUCCUUUUCUCCUUUUUUAUCUAUUAUUAUUUUCUUCCUCUUUUUUCCUCAUAACUUUUUUUCUU